ACAAAUUAUGUGCCUCCCCGACCCUACUUCCGCUGGGCGCAACAACCAUGGCGGCGGAUCCGUGGCGUUCGCGGCCGCUUCACCUCAGGUUCCGCGGUGAUUCCACCCGAUCAGUGCCUUCCCUACCCUUCUUUCACUAGGAUGAGCGCAGCAACCAUGGCGGUCGCUCCACCUCAGGUCUCCCGCGCUCCCUCCAUGUAUCCCCUGCGCAUCCGGUGGCCAGGCGCUUCUUCCACUCCGACCUAGUGGCUCACGAAGCAGCAGCUUCACACCGCCACACCUCCCUAGGCUUGAUUUCUUCCAUUGCAUGAAGUGCAAUUGCUGCCUUGGAAUGAGACUAUCAGAACACAAAUGUCAGGAGAAGGGGCUAGAGGCAAACUGUCCAAUUUGCGGUGACUUCCUAUUCACAUCAAGUUGCUCUUCCUUGUGGUCACUUCAUGCAUUCAGUUUGCUUUCAGGUGUUAGCAAGUAAAAUAAUAAUUUUCUUUUUUCUGAUAAUAUAUAUCUGGCUACUGGCUGUCAAAGAUGGUUCUGACAAUUGUCAACCCCAGGCAUACACUUGCAGUCACUACACUUGUCCUAUCUCCAUCUUGAGUCCCAUGACUUGUUUUCAUAUCAUAGUGAGAACUAUUACUCAUUCUAUUUUGCUCUUCAUAUACAGGGCAUUCCACUAGCUCAUAAGUGAUUUUUCAUAAAGUAUGAAACAGACACAUUUCUCAUUACUUUGAUACUGAAAGCCUAUACCUCAAUUCUAGAGUACUCAAAAACAAAUAAUUUAUCUGUGCAGUUAUAUUGUAUGAUUAUUCUCCACGGACAAUACAGCUCUGAUUCCUGACACUCGAGGGUGACUUUACUUGUGGUCUUGUUAUUUAAACUCUCCUAAGAUGCAAAGUGAAGACUGCUUUAGUAUUUGGGGAGUACACAGUCGGAUAUUUGGCUCGAGUCAUGUUGAUUGACUGAGUGUAAUAGACAAACUUCAGAGGUAUUGGUAUCUGGAAAAAGAAGAGGAAGCAUUGUAAAUCGUUGUUAUUAUAUGAGAUGCCAAUCGAGAGGUGCCAGUUUCAUUUUGACUUGUUUGAGAUCUAGCUUCCGAUCAGUUUGCUCCUGUGAAACUAUUUUGUCCAAUGCUUUAAUGUUACCAUGGUAGUCUCAGAAUAGUAUGGACAUCCUGAUGUUCUUCUGUGGUUAGUUGUUCCUUGAAGUGUGGGCUACAUGCUGUAGAGGUAACAAAACUAUUGGCGUAGCUUACAAUAUCCACAAUAUACGGAUUUUUACUUGUGAGCUGAUUGUCUAAAUUUUGUAAGCACGUACACGAUUCUUACUGAACUACUAUAAUAUUUAUUUCUCCAUUUCUGUAUUCUGUAUGUACAGGUGUACUUUGGCAUGCUUGAUGCAUUCUUGGCUGCUGAAGAGCUUCCAAAGGAAUACCACUAUAGGUGUCAGAUCAUGUCUGAGGCACAAGAGUGUGGUUCCUGUGUAGAGGCGCUCACAUACUUCCAUGGGUAGAUUGUACUUUCAUGACAUAGGUGUUUAUUUAAUAUACUAAGUCAUGUAUCCUUGUCCCGAAAGGAGUAAAUUGCUGAAAGCCACCACAUUUGUGGCACGAAUACUGCAAAACCACCACUUUUGUCGAAAAUUUCAAAGAACCACCACUUCCUCGGCAAGUGAGUAACAAAAAGCACUAAACGUGCUGUGAGCCGUGAUUAAGUGAAAAACUGACAUGCCUGGCCCACAUGUCAGGCUGACUUGGCAAAGAAUAAACAGUAGAGAGGUGACUAGGCUCUGGCAUUUCGUCGAGUACUUCGUGUGCACGCACAACACAUACUCCGUCGGUCCAGCUCUUCUCCGGCGAUGCUGCCCCUCCGU